rnacentral:rRNA from 1 species
GACGAACGCUGGCGGCGUGCUUAACACAUGCAAGUCGAGCGGAAAGGCCCUUCGGGGUACUCGAGCGGCGAACGGGUGAGUAACACGUGAGUAACCUGUCCUUGGCUUUGGGAUAACCCUCGGAAACGGGGGCUAAUACCGGAUAUGACUCUUGCCUGCAUGGGUGGGGGUGGAAAGUUUUUCGGCUAGGGGUGGGCUCGCGGCCUAUCAGCUUGUUGGUGGGGUAAUGGCCUACCAAGGCGACGACGGGUAGCCGGCCUGAGAGGGCGACCGGCCACACUGGGACUGAGACACGGCCCAGACUCCUACGGGAGGCAGCAGUGGGGAAUAUUGCACAAUGGGCGGAAGCCUGAUGCAGCGACGCCGCGUGAGGGAUGACGGCCUUCGGGUUGUAAACCUCUUUCAGCAGGGACGAAGCGU